rnacentral:rRNA from 1 species
CCUACGGGAGGCAGCAGUAGGGAAUUUUCGUCAAUGGGCGCAAGCCUGAACGAGCAAUGCCGCGUGAACGAGGAAGGUCUUCGGAUCGUAAAGUUCUGUUGAAGGGGAAAAAGAGCGGAGAGAGGAAAUGGUCUCCGAUUGAUAUUACCCUUCGAGGAAGUCACGGCUAACUACGUGCCAGCAGCCGCGGUAAUACGUAGGUGGCGAACGUUAUCCGGAAUGAUUGGGCGUAAAGGGUGCGUAGGCGGCCUGCUAAGUCUGGAGUGAAAGGUACCGGCUCAACCGGUACAGGCUCUGGAAACUGGCGGGCUAGAGAGAAGGAGAGGGCGGUGGAACUCCAUGUGGAGCGGUAAAAUGCGUAGAUAUAUGGAAGAACACCAGUGGCGAAGGCGGCCGCCUGGCCUGUUACUGACGCUGAGGCACGAAAGCGUGGGGAGCAAAUAGGAUUAGAUACCCCUGUAGUC